rnacentral:rRNA from 1 species
CAGUCGCCGCGGUAAUACGGAGGGUGCAAGCGUUAUCCGGAUUUAUUGGGUUUAAAGGGUCCGUAGGCGGACUUAUAAGUCAGUGGUGAAAGCCUGUCGCUUAACGAUAGAACUGCCAUUGAUACUGUAAGUCUUGAGUAUAUUUGAGGUAGCUGGAAUAAGUAGUGUAGCGGUGAAAUGCAUAGAUAUUACUUAGAACACCAAUUGCGAAGGCAGGUUACCAAGAUAUAACUGACGCUGAGGGACGAAAGCGUGGGUAGCGAACAGGAUUAGAUACCCGCGUAGUCCCUGUCUCUUAUAC